rnacentral:lncRNA from 1 species
ACAAUGGUCUAUAUAUAAGUAGUUACAUUUAUUUUAUGUUUGAAGCGGUGCAAAAUUUAAAAAUUUCAUUUGACUUUUACCAAAAGAUGCAUUGUAGCAAAGGAGAAGAAUAAUUGUGGUCUGAUGCCAGAAACACGAAAAUAAUUGAAUUUAACAGAAAGGAAACAAAUAUCGGACUUUGGAAAAAGGGAGAGGGCUUUUGAUACCUUUUAUGAAAUUCUCCAUACAUAAUAUAUUUUACAAAAAAAUCAUCCUACAACAGUUCACAAGCUGUAUAUGCCCGCGAUUUUGCGGAUGUGUUCUAGUAUA